rnacentral:rRNA from 1 species
CUACGGAGGGUGCAAGCGUUACUCGGAAUCACUGGGCGUAAAGGACGCGUAGGCGGAUUGGAAAGUCAGAUGUGAAAUCCUACAGCUUAACUGUAGAACUGCAUUUGAAACUUCUAAUCUAGAGUAUGGGAGGGGGAGAUGGAAUUAGUGGUGUAGGGGUAAAAUCCGUAGAUAUCACUAGGAAUACCGAAAGCGAAGGCGAUCUCCUGGAACAUAACUGACGCUAAGGCGUGAAAGCGUGGGGAGCAAACGGGAUUAGAUACCCUAGUAGUCC